AGAGAGAGAGAGAGAGAGAGAGAGAGAGAGAGAAGAGUAUUCAUUCAUAGAGAUCCCCGUGAGGAGUGUUUGGAGGCAUUCCGAUAUCACAACUUACAUUCUUCUGUUUGCUCUUAUCCUCUUCUUUAACUUCUUUCGAUGCUCCUAUAUAUAUUUUUAAUGAAUUACCAUGUAUAUGACUCUUUACGAUUCACGACUGGAUCAUGAUUGCAUGU
rnacentral:lncRNA from 1 species